rnacentral:rRNA from 1 species
CAGACGGGUGAGUAACACGUGGUCAACCUUCCCUACAGUGGGGAUAACUAGCCGAAAGGUUAGCUAAUACCGCAUAACAUCUACGAACGGCAUCGUUUGUAGAUCAAAGGAGCAAUCCGCUGAAGGACGGGACCGCGUCCCAUUAGUUAGUUGGUGGGGUAAUGGCCUACCAAGACUCCGAUGGGUAGCUGGUUUGAGAGAGCGACCAGCCACACUGGGACUGAGAAACGGCCCAG